UCAAACUUGGUCAUUUAGAGGAAGUAAAAGUCGUAACAAGGUUUCCGUAGGUGAACCUGCGGAAGGAUCAUUACAUGGCGGAGGAGGUGGGCACCUAGUAAAAUCAAAAACUCUAGGUGUGUUGCCUACCACGCUUUCUACCCUUGUCUAUUUGCACCUUUUGUCGUUCCCUCGGUGGGUCUUGAACCUGCCGGCGGCAACUUUCAAACCCUUUUGCAGUUAGUAUCUAAUUCUUCUGAUUCAAUAUUCAAUCGUUACAACUUUCAACAAUGGAUCUCUUGGUUCUGGCAUCGAUGAAGAACGCAGC
rnacentral:misc_RNA from 1 species